rnacentral:rRNA from 1 species
AUUGAACGCUGGCGGCAGGCCUAACACAUGCAAGUCGAGCGGAUGAAGGGAGCUUGCUCCUGGAUUCAGCGGCGGACGGGUGAGUAAUGCCUAGGAAUCUGCCUGGUAGUGGGGGAUAACGUCCGGAAACGGGCGCUAAUACCGCAUACGUCCUGAGGGAGAAAGUGGGGGAUCUUCGGACCUCACGCUAUCAGAUGAGCCUAGGUCGGAUUAGCUAGUUGGUGGGGUAAAGGCCUACCAAGGCGACGAUCCGUAACUGGUCUGAGAGGAUGAUCAGUCACACUGGAACUGAGACACGGUCCAGACUCCUGCGGGAGGCAGCAGUGGGGAAUAUUGGACAAAGGGCGAAAGCCUGAUCCAGCCAUGCCGCGUGUGUGAAGAAGGUCUUCGGAUUGUAAAGCACUUAAAGUUGGGAGGAAGGGCAGUAAGUUAAUACCUUGCUGUUUUGACGUUACCAACAGAAUAAGCACCGGCUAACUUCGUG